rnacentral:misc_RNA from 1 species
UGUCAUCGAAAGUCCACUUAGCUUACUUAAACGGAAUUAAGUGAAGAUUUCCUUUCGCAAAGUAGUCAUGACAGAGAAGUGAACAAAAGUUUACAAACUCUUGAUUUCGACAGUGUUUAUGAGAAGUUAGGCAAUAUUUCGGUUUAUAGCAGAGGAUUUCAUGAGAAAAGUUGUGCGUGAGACCAUAUUUUAUGUUAUAGCAGAUCAGUUCAUGAGAAAAGGUGUGCUCCAGACAAUAUUUUAUGUUAUAUCAGAUCAGUUCAAUAGAAAAGGUGUUCUCCAGACAAUAUUUUAUGUUAUAUCAGAUCAGUUCAUGAGAAAAGGUGUGCUCCAGACAAUAUUUUAUGUUAUAUCAGAUCGAGUUGAUUAUUAAAGAAGGUGUGCAUCAAACAAUAUUUUGGUUUUUAUCAGAUGGAGACAUUAGUACUGGAAUAUUGCAUCUGUGAUCAUGGAAAUUUGGUGUCAGAUUUGAUCCUCUUACCUUAAUCGGAUUUCUGAUGCUGACUGACAAGAAAUAUCGUUUUCCAUUUAUGCGAUUAACAGUCUCGGUCCACCAAUGACAUUUCGGCAAUCUGUCGUGUAAUGUAAAAAUUGACAGGAAUGUGCCAGUAGAUGGAUAAACGUAGAAACAUCUGUCUUGUUUGAAACCAUGGUGAUCUCAAAGUGUACCCAUUAUUCGAAUGCAUGGACAGAAAAUGUGUGUUACUGACAUCUCAACACAGCGUGUUAAACGGUGACUGUUAUAAUAUCUGUGACUUGGUCUCAAGUGAUAGGGAAUAAACCUGUGUCGCCAGUGUCACUCCUACGGAAUAGUAGAAAACCAUGUAUUACAAACAUUUUCCAAUACAAUAUCCCAUAUUCUUUGAAAUACCAAACUUGGAUCACUAUUUCAGGUGGAAAAUACUCUAAAGCUGUCGAAAGAGAAAUCGUUCACAGUUUGUCAGUUUACAGUUUACGUACAUUUAACUAAAGUUUUAAAAAAGGACAAAUUUACACACUGAAACUUACUGAACAAAGAUACUGAUUAGUGAUUCAUGAUAAAUAUAACUGGCCGAUGUUAUUUUACAAACAAAUGAAUUAAUUUCCAGUGUUAUCGUAAAUAUUGGGUUGUAAUGUAGUCAUCUUCUUUUUUUUUCAACUAAUCUUCGUAAAACGUAACUAAGACAUUAAAAUUUAUUUAACAAGGCUAAUGAAAUAGAUUUAUUUAUUUAUUUAUUUAUUUAUUUAAUCGUUCUAAUCGAAAAUUAUGCAUUACGAUUCAGGUUAAAGAGUAGUCAUUCUGUUGGCACCAAAAAUAAAAAAUCAACAAGACUUUUCGGAUAUACAGAAAUUGUAAUUUUUAAUCAAGAGGAGGAAUACAUUAUUAAUUAAACUGUCAUGUUGUUUGACUUUAUUUUGUUUAUGUCGGUUGGAACCAUUUAUGCGUGCGGAGAAGUUUUUUCUUCAGUGGACAGAAUGAAACAGCUUCCGAAAAUUGAACAAAAACUGAUAGCUGCUUGUGACAGAUUUCUCGAACACAAACACAAAAUCCACGGCUUCGCAAAGUUUAAAAGGUUUCUCGAUUCCACGCGGAAAGAAAACGAGAAGGCAUUGAGAGAUGAAACCUACGUUGAGAACCCGAUCAAUGGUUUCCGCCUGCUGUGGCGUCUCUCUGAACGAUGGCUGGCCGCCACCACUACGUCGCGGACAGAGAAGGUAAUCGGCGAUGAUGACACAGUUUCAGACUUUUUUGUAAAAAUUCGAAGCUCCAUCAAAAAGGUGUCUUUGUGGCCAACAGCCGACGAUAUAACCGGCGCCGCCAAUGGCCUGGUUCGGCUUUCGCUAGUGUUCAAUCUGGAUAUCAACCAAUUGAUUGGCGGAAGUAUUGGACACUACCACACUGAACCGCUAACCGGAGACGAGGUGUUUGCUAUCACGAAAGUGGUCUAUCAGACGGAGGAGAAGCUGGAACUAAUGGCGUGGUUAAACAAAUCCGUCGAUCUGAUGACGUCAGAGAACACGGAAGCAAAACACGCGGAUGAAGCCAUAGAACUGAAGACAAAACUGUUAGCCAGUAUGAAAAACAGAAAACGAGAUGAUUCUGUUGACAAAAACAUUAACAAGUGUAACGGUUCUGGUUGUCAUGGUGACAGUUUAUCGGAAAAACUGACGUCAAAUGGACAGAAUUCAGAGGUCCAUACUACAUGCCAUUCUAUGUAUGAACAGCUUUGUCGAGAAAACACACGAACUGCCGCGGAUAAUUCUAAACUGCACUGCCAGUAUCAAACAACAAGUAUUCCAUUCAUCAAGGCCAAAGCUGAAUAUGUACAUACCGACCCUCCUAUUAUGCUCUUCCAUGACGUCAUCAGUGAUAUUGAAUCCUACUGGAUAAUAAAUACAUCUCGUCAUAUGCUAUCGCGAUCCCUGAUGGGUAAAUUUAAUACAUCCGGUGAAUACUUCGGGAAGAAAAGGAUAAGCCAAAGUGCUUGGAUAUAUGACGACUUGGACGUGUCCGCCAAACUCUCGAAGAGAAUAGGACUCCUCACAGGACUCAGCACACGGUUGUUGGAGGAGGAGACACACGCUGAACCCUUCCAGAUUCACAACUAUGGUCUGGGUGGCAUGUAUGAACCGCACGAGGAUUCUGUGGUAUGGUCAUAUAAAUCUUCUAUUGUGUAUACCGAACAACAAAAGAAUUCGUCUUUAUCGACAAACGGGAAAAGAAGAAAACAAAGCGGUUCGGAAUUCCGGGGACAGAAUAGCAACCUGGCUGUUUUAUUUGACAGAUGUAAAGGUGGGCGGAGCAACAGUGUUUCCACUACUGAAUACCCGAGUUCCUGUAACUAAGGGUUCGGCAGCAUUUUGGUACAACCUGAAACAGAACGGUGAUCCAGACAUGCGCACAAUACAUGCUGGGUGCCCUGUGCUUAUAGGAGAUAAAUGGGUUGCUAACAAGUGGAUCCGUGAAGUGGGACAGAUGUUUAGAAG